rnacentral:rRNA from 1 species
ACACAACAGGUGGAGCCUGCGGUUUAAUCGGACUCAACGCCGGGAACCUCACCGGAUAAGACAGCGGAAUGAUAGCCGGGCUGAAGACUCUGCUUGACUAGCUGAGAGGAGGUGCAUGGCCGUCGUCAGUUCGUACUGUGAAGCAUCCUGUUAAGUCAGGCAACGAGCGAGACCCACGCCAACAGUUGCCAGCUUGUCCUCCGGGAUGAUGGGGACACUGUUGGGACCGCCUCUGCUAAAGAGGAGGAAGGAAUGGGCAACGGUAGGUCAGCAUGCCCCGAAUUAUCCGGGCUACACGCGGGCUACAAUGGUCAGGACAAUGGGUAUCGACACCGAAAGGUGAAGGCAAUCUCUUAAACCUGUCCGUAGUUCGGAUUGUGGGUUGCAACUCGCCCACAUGAAGCUGGAAUCUGUAGUAAUCGCGUCUCAAAAUGGCGCGGUGAAUAUGUCCCUGCUCCUU